CCUACGGGAGGCAGCAGUGGGGAAUUUUGGACAAUGGGCGCAAGCCUGAUCCAGCAAUGCCGCGUGAGUGAAGAAGGCCUUCGGGUUGUAAAGCUCUUUUGUCAGGGAAGAAACGGUCUACUCUAAUACAGUGGGCUAAUGACGGUACCUGAAGAAUAAGCACCGGCUAACUACGUGCCAGCAGCCGCGGUAAUACGUAGGGUGCAAGCGUUAAUCGGAAUUACUGGGCGUAAAGCGUGCGCAGGCGGUUAUAUAAGUCAGAUGUGAAAUCCCCGGGCUCAACCUGGGAACUGCAUUUGAGACUGUAUGGCUAGAGUGUGUCAGAGGGGGGUAGAAUUCCACGUGUAGCAGUGAAAUGCGUAGAUAUGUGGAGGAAUACCGAUGGCGAAGGCAGCCCCCUGGGAUAACACUGACGCUCAUGCACGAAAGCGUGGGGAGCAAACAGGUAUUAGAUACCCUGGUAGUCCACGCCCUAAACGAUGUCUACUAGUGUCGGUACUUAUUGUCUUAGGUACGNAGCUACGNGUAGAAGUACGACCGCCGUCGGAGGUACGGUCGCGAGAAGUAAACGUAACGAAGAAGUUAGACGGACGUGAGAGUAGACGACGACGACGACGAGGGAGGAGG
rnacentral:rRNA from 1 species